rnacentral:rRNA from 1 species
GAUGAACGCUGGCGGCGUGCCUAAUACAUGCAAGUCGAGCGAACAGACGAGGAGCUUGCUCCUCUGACGUUAGCGGCGGACGGGUGAGUAACACGUGGAUAACCUACCUAUAAGACUGGGAUAACUUCGGGAAACCGGUGCUAAUACCGGAUAAUAUAUUGAACCGCAUGGUUCAAUAGUGAAAGACGGUUUUGCUGUCACUUAUAGAUGGAUCCGCGCCGCAUUAGCUAGUUGGUAAGGUAACGGCUUACCAAGGCGACGAUGCGUAGCCGACCUGAGAGGGUGAUCAGCCACACUGGAACUGAGACACGGUCCAGACUCCUACGGGAGGCAGCAGUAGGGAAUCUUCCGCAAUGGGCGAAAGCCUGACGGAGCAACGCCGCGUGAGUGAUGAAGGUCUUCGGAUCGUAAAACUCUGUUAUUAGGGAAGAACAAAUGUGUAAGUAACUAUGCACGUCUUGACGGUACCUAAUCAGAAAGCCACGGCUAACUACGUG